CCUACGGGCGGCAGCAGUGAGGAAUAUUGGUCAAUGGACGAGAGUCUGAACCAGCCACGUAGCGUGAAGGAUGACUGCCCUAUGGGUUGUAAACUUUUUUUAUAAAGGAAUAAAACGAGGCACGUGUGCCUUUUUGCACGGACCUUAUGAAUAUGGAUCGGCUCACUCCGUGCAAGUAGCCGCGGUAAUACGUAGUAUCAGAGCGUUAUCGGGAUUUAUUGGGUGGAAAGGGAGCGUAGAUGGGUUGUUAAGUCAGUUGUGAAAGUUUGAGGCUCAACCGUAAAAUUGGAUUUGAAACUGGCAGUCUUGAGUACAGGUGAGGUAGGCGGAAUUCGUGGUGUAGCGGUGAAAUGCUUAGAUAUCACGAGGAACCCCGAUGGCGAAGGCAGCUUACUAAACUGUGACUGACAUUGAUGCUCGAAAGUGUGGGGAGCAAACAGGAUUAGAUACCCUUGUAGUC
rnacentral:rRNA from 1 species